rnacentral:rRNA from 1 species
GACGAACGCUGGCGGCGUGCUUAACACAUGCCAGUCGAACGCUGAAGGCCUGGCUUUUGUUGGGUUGGAUGAGUGGCGAACGGGUGAGUAACACGUGAGUAACCUGCCCUCUUCUUUGGGAUAACGCCCGGAGACGGGUGCUAAUACUGGAUAUUCACUGAUCUUCGCAUGGGGGUUGGUGGAAAGGUUUGUUCUGGUGGGGGAUGGGCUCGCGGCCUAUCAGCUUGUUGGUGGGGUGAUGGCCUACCAAGGCUUUGACGGGUAGCCGGCCUGAGAGGGUGACCGGUCACAUUGGGACUGAGAUACGGCCCAGACUCCUACGGGAGGCAGCAGUGGGGAAUAUUGCACAAUGGGCGAAAGCCUGAUGCAGCGACGCCGCGUGAGGGAUGGAGGCCUUCGGGUUGUAAACCUCUUUCGCUCAUGGUCAAGCCGCAACUGUGGGUUGUGGUGAGGGUAGUGGGUAAAGAAGCGCCGGCUAACUACGUG